AUUGAACGCUAGCGGGAUGCUUUACACAUGCAAGUCGAACGGCAGCGCGGACUUCGGUCUGGCGGCGAGUGGCGAACGGGUGAGUAAUGUAUCGGAACGUGCCCAGUAGCGGGGGGAUAACUACGCGAAAGCGUGGCUAAUACCGCAUACGCCCUACGGGGGAAAGGGGGGGAGUCGCAAGACCUCUCACUAUUGGAGCGGCCGAUAUCGGAUUAGCUAGUUGGUGGGGUAAAGGCCUACCAAGGCG
rnacentral:rRNA from 1 species